CCUACGGGAGGCAGCAGUAAGGAAUAUUGGUCAAUGGAGGCAACUCUGAACCAGCCAUGCCGCGUGCAGGAGGACGGCCCUAUGGGUUGUAAACUGCUUUUGAACUAGAGAAAACCUUGGUACGUGUACCGAGUUGAUAGUAUAGUUAGAAUAAGCAUCGGCUAACUUCGUGCCAGCAGCCGCGGUAAGACGAAGGAUGCAAGCGUUAUCCGGAUUCAUUGGGUUUAAAGGGUGCGUAGGCGGACUGAUAAGUCAGUGGUGAAAUCUCUCAGCUUAACUGAGAAACUGCCAUUGAUACUGUUAGUCUAGAGUAUAGAUGAUGUGGGCGGAAUAUGACAUGUAGUGGUGAAAUACUUAGAUAUGUCAUAGAACACCGAUUGCGAAGGCAGCUCACAAAACUGUAAACUGACGCUGAGGCACGAAAGUGCGGGGAUCAAACAGGAUUAGAUACCCUGGUAGUCCGCACCGUAAACGAUGAUUACUCGUUGUUGGCGAAUNUGACAGCGAGCGACCGAACGACGAAGAACGAGUAAGUUAAGUUACCGUACCGUUACGGGUUAGGUACGGCCGGCCGGACGGUACGGAACGUUACGAAGAAGUUAGUUAGGACGGCGAGAGAGACGACGGACGGACGACGACGGAGGAGGUAG
rnacentral:rRNA from 1 species